rnacentral:sRNA from 1 species
GAUGAGAAGCUUCGACUAAGGUUCGACUCGAGCGAAGCGAGAGAACGUUGCCGCAGGCAACGGCCCGAAGGGCGAGGCGCUUUAGCGCCGAGUAAUCCUUCCCCCACCACUG